rnacentral:rRNA from 1 species
GACGUAGGGAGCAAGCGUUGUCCGGAUUUACUGGGCGUAAAGAGCGCGUAGGCGGUCUGUUAAGUGAGAAGUGAAAUCUCCAGGGCUCAACCCGGAAACUGCUUUUCAUACUGGCAGACUUGAGGAAUGCAGAGGUGUGUGGAAUUCCUGGUGUAGCGGUGAAAUGCAUUGAUAUCAGGAGGAACACCCAUGGCGAAGGCAGCACACUGGGCAUUAUCUGACGCUGAGGCGCGAAAGCGUGGGUAGCAAACAGG